GGUGGGGUGGCUGAGCAUGGCUGAAAGCGCCGCACUCGAAAUGCGGUAGGCUCGCAAGAGUCUCGUGAGUUCAAAUCUCACCCCCACCG
rnacentral:tRNA from 1 species